GAGUUUGAUCCUGGCUCAGGACGAACGCUGGCGGCACGCUUAAUACAUGCAAGUCGAACGCUCUCGACCUUCGGGUCACAUGGGAGAGUGGCGAACGGGUGAGUAACACGUGAGAAACCUGCCUCAAAGAUCGGGACAACCACUGGAAACGGUGGCUUAAUACCGAAUACCUUCCUUUGGCCGCAUGGUCAGUUGAAGAAAUGCUCCGGCGCUUUGAGAGGGUCUCGCGGCCUAUCAGCUUGUUGGUGAGGUAACGGCUCACCAAGGCAUCGGACGGGUAGCUGGUCUGAGAGGACGAUCAGCCACACUGGGACUGAGACACGGCCCAGACUCCUACGGGAGGCAGCAGUAGGGAAUCUUGCGCAAUGGGCGAAAGCCUGACGCAGCGAUGCCGCGUGGGGGAUGAAGGCUCUCGGGUCGUAAACCCCUUUCAGCAGGGACGAAAAUGAC
rnacentral:rRNA from 1 species